GAAAUUCUUUCAUCUAUAAAUAGCUACUCAGUUUGCAAAUAACUAAUUUCAUAAUAAUAAUAUUACUAAAGAACUUUAUUAGGAAGCCAUGAAAUCCCUUUUCAUUUUAUCAUGCCUUGUCUCAUCUCUUCAUCUGAUUUUGCUUUUGAAGCCGAUGGAUGCAAGAAAAGGCCCCGGUGGUGAUGACAAAUCUUGGCCGAGUGAUGAAUCGAAGACAAGGGCAACCAUUUGGGAUCCAAGAUCAAGAGUUUGGACCAAAAGUAAUUUAGAGCAAUUAUAAUUGGCGAGAGAUGAUGAUGAUGGACAAGUAUGGGUUUAUGUUGAUGAGAAGAAGAAGAGAAGUAACAUAUGGUUUUACAAUGAUGAUCAUUGAUGAAUGGAUCAAUUAUGGAAUCAAGAUCACCAAUAUAAUAUAUUAUGUACUUUUUUCGUCUGCUAUCAAUGUAUUUCUUUACUAUUUUUUACUAUCUACUAUCAAUAUAUAUAAAGUUGAAGGUAUUUGAAUUUAAUAAAUGUAGUUCCAGUAUAAAUAAUAUAUACAUAUAUAUGUGUAUUCUGAUUUAAUAAGUAUGAUUUCUAUAAAUAAAAUAAAACAUAAUAAAAUUA